rnacentral:rRNA from 1 species
AGUGAACGCUGGCGGUAGGCCUAACACAUGCAAGUCGAACGGCAGCACAGUAAGAGCUUGCUCUUACGGGUGGCGAGUGGCGGACGGGUGAGGAAUACAUCGGAAUCUACUUUUUCGUGGGGGAUAACGUAGGGAAACUUACGCUAAUACCGCAUACGACCUACGGGUGAAAGCAGUGGAUCUUCGGACCUUGCGCGAUUGAAUGAGCCGAUGUCGGAUUAGCUAGUUGGCGGGGUAAAGGCCCACCAAGGCGACGAUCCGUAGCUGGUCUGAGAGGAUGAUCAGCCACACUGGAACUGAGACACGGUCCAGACUCCUACGGGAGGCAGCAGUGGGGAAUAUUGGACAAAGGGGGCAAGCCUGAUCCAGCCAUACCGCGUGGGUGAAGAAGGCCUUCGGGUUGUAAAGCCCUUUUGUUGGGAAAGAAAAGCAGCAGGUUAAUACCCCGCUGUUCUGACGGUACCCAAAGAAUAAGCACCGGCUAACUUCGUG